rnacentral:rRNA from 1 species
AGAGUUUGAUCAUGGCUCAGAUUGAACGCUGGCGGCGUGCCUAACACAUGCAAGUCGAUCGGUAACGCGGGGGCAACCCUGGCGACGAGAGGCGGACGGGUGAGCAAUGCUUGGGAAUCUGCCCAUCAGCGGGGGACAACCCGGGGAAACUCGGGCUAAUACCGCAUACGCUCUACGGAGGAAAGCAGGGGACCGCAAGGCCUUGCACUGACGGAUGAGCCCAAGCCGGAUUAGCUAGUUGGCGGGGUAACGGCCCACCAAGGCGACGAUCCGUAGCUGGUCUGAGAGGACGAUCAGCCACACCGGAACUGAGACACGGUCCGGACUCCUACGGGAGGCAGCAGUGGGGAAUAUUGGACAAUGGGGGAAACCCUGAUCCAGCGACGCCGCGUGGGUGAAGAAGGCCUGCGGGUUGUAAAGCCCUUUCGGUAGGGACGAAAGCUUCCGACCUAACACGUCGGAGGGUUGACUUAACCUACAAAAGAAGCACCGGCUAACUCUGUGCCAGCAGCCGCGGUAAUACAGAGGGUGCGAGCGUUAAUCGGAAUUACUGGGCGUAAAGCGCACGUAGGCGGCUUGGUAUGUCGGGUGUGAAAUCCCCGGGCUCAACCUGGGAACUGCAUCCGAAACUGCCUUGCUCGAGUAUGGGAGAGGGAAGUGGAAUUUCCGGUGUAGCGGUGAAAUGCGUAGAUAUCGGAAGGAACAUCAGUGGCGAAGGCGACUUCCUGGACCAAUACUGACGCUCA